ensembl:snRNA U6 U6 spliceosomal RNA
CAUUGACUAGACAACAUAUUACUAAAAUUUGAUUGAUACAGAGAAAAUUAGCAUGACCUCUACACAAGGAUGACAUACAAAUUCAUAAGGUUCCACAUUUCAUA